rnacentral:rRNA from 1 species
GGAAUAUUGCGCAAUGGGCGAAAGCCUGACGCAGCGACACCGCGUGAGGGACGAAGGCUUUCGAGUUGUAAACCUCUUUUCUCAGGGAAUAGCAAGGAAGGUACCUGAGGAAUAAGCAUUGGCUAACUCCGUGCCAGCAGCCGCGGUAAUACGGAGGGAGCAAGCGUUGCUCGGAAUCACUGGGCGUAAAGAGCGUGUAGGCGGAAUGAUUAGUCGGAUGUGAAAGUCCCGAGCUCAACUCGGGAAGUGCAUUCGAUACUGUCAUUCUUGAGUUCGAGAGGGGAGAGUGGAAUUCCUGGUGUAGCGGUGAAAUGCGUAGAUAUCAGGAAGAACACCUGUGGCGAAGGCGGCUCUCUGGAUCGAUACUGACGCUGAGACGCGAAAGCUAGGGGAGCAAACGGG